GACGAACGCUGGCGGCGUGCCUAAUACAUGCAAGUAGAACGCUGAAGGAGGAGCUUGCUUCUCCGGAUGAGUUGCGAACGGGUGAGUAACGCGUAGGUAACCUGCCUGGUAGCGGGGGAUAACUAUUGGAAACGAUAGCUAAUACCGCAUAAGAGUAGAUGUCGCAUGACAUUUGCUUAAAAGGUGCAACUGCACCACUACCAGAUGGACCUGCGUUGUAUUAGCUAGUUGGUGAGGUAACGGCUCACCAAGGCAACGAUACAUAGCCGACCUGAGAGGGGGAUCGGCCACACUGGGACUGAGACACGGCCCAGACUCCUACGGGAGGCAGCAGUAGGGAAUCUUCGGCAAUGGACGGAAGUCUGACCGAGAAACGCCGCGUGAGUGAAGAAGGUUUUCGGAUCGUAAAGCUCUGUUGUAAGAGAAGAACGAGUGUGAGAGUGGAAAGUUCACACUGUGACGGUAUCUUACCAGAAAGGGACGGCUAACUACGUG
rnacentral:rRNA from 1 species